AGGAUAAACGCUGGCGGCGUGCCUAACACAUGCAAGUCGAACGUCUCUUCUUUCGGGAAGAGGAGUGGCGGACGGGUGAGGAACACGUGGGAACCUGCCCUUCAGUGAGGAAUACCGGCGAGAAAUCGCCGACAAGACCGCAUAGCCCUCUCUGGUGAGAGCCAGAGAAGGAAAGCCUCGCAAGAGGCGCUGGAGGAGGGGCCUGCGUCCGAUUAGCUAGUUGGUGGGGUAAGAGCCUACCAAGGCGUCGAUCGGUAGCUGGUCUGAGAGGACGAUCAGCCACACUGGGAUUGAGAACGGCCCAGACUCCUACGGGGGCAGCAGUGAGGAAUUUUCGGCAAUGGGGGAAACCCUGACCGAGCAACGCCGCGUGCAGGAAGACGGCCUUCGGGUUGUAAACUGCUUUUCUUGGGUACGAGCAAGGACGGUACCAGAGGAAUCAGCCCCGGCUCACUACGUGCCAGCAGCCGCGUAAU
rnacentral:rRNA from 1 species